UGCAUAAAAUAUGACUACCACUUCAGAGAUCUUUUUUUAUUUUUCCUUUGGAAGAGAAAUACACAUCUACCAACAUCAAAGGAUUUUGUUGAUCUAUGAAAGAACAAAGGGCAGCCAUUAAGGGAUCAUGAGGAGAGGCACCUGCUCACAUUAGGACAGAUGAGGCAUCCUUGAGAGAUGUUUGCCUUGGUCUUGAUGGCACACAGAGGCUACUCAGGCUCAGGGGAGAGAUACCAGAGAGCACAUCAACUGCAAGGCAGGCAGCAUCUCAACCAGCUAUUUUAGGAUCAUCAAGUUAUUCCAUGUAACGUAUUUAUCUAUUUGAGAAAUAGAGUUGCAGAGAGGAAAGGACACAGGCAGAGGAAGAGUGAGAGACCAAAAGUGUGCAUGGGCCCACGUUCUUGGAACUUCCUCUGCUGCUCUCCUAGACACACCUUCAUGGACCUGGAUUUGAAGUAGAGCAGCCAGACCUCCAGCUGGUGCCCCAA